CUGGCGCCUCCCAUCUCCGACCGCCUCCUCGAAACCGAGUAUGUCUCGUCUCGCGACGGAGAAGGCGGCGGGCAGAGAUGCGACGCCUCCAACAUUCUUCCUCCACCGGCGACCGGAGCAGGGGGCUACCGAGUGCAUCGCCUCCAAGUCCCUCUCCUCUCUCGGAUUUCCCCUCUCUAGCGGCGGUUGUCCCAAGAUCUGCUCCGCCCAGAUCCCUGUCCUUCCGGCGACAAGGACGGUCGGCGGUCCCGAUAUUCAGAUCUACCCAUCCUCUUGCUCUCUUCUUUGAGGUCAGCAUCACUGAUAUUGAUUUUGGUUGCAGGCGACAGAUCCUGGAGUACACCAAGUCUUGGAGAUGAACAACGCUAGCUUGGGCAAUUUGCUCUCUUCCACUUCCCUACUGUAUUAUUUUCUUUGAUACGAAAUCUUGCAUCUGUUGUUCGGCUAGUGAGUAGAGAAGCAACAUUCUGAUUGGUAGUUUUAACGACUGUUACGAUUUUAAUGCUUGAUUUUUGGGCCAUCAAUGGAAUCGUGGAUGAUAUAUGCGAAAUAGCAGCGGCAAGGCUGAGAUCAUCAGGCCGAUGCAUUGUUUUCUAUGGUACUCACAUUUAAUUGAUGGAUUUGAUUCUAUCUGGUUUGGUGAAAUUUAGAUAAACACCGGGUUCAUAACUUCAUGUACUGGAUGUUUGUAGCCUGACUAAUUGAAUUAGUAAUUUGGUUAAUGGAUAGGCUUACGUGAGCUUAAUUAAAUCCCUGCCAUGGAAAAACAUAAGGUGCGUAGUGUAUAUUGUUCCUCCUCCUCAGCUAGUUGUCUACUUAGUUCUAUCUUCUUAUCUAGUAGUUGAUAAGCCAGUUGCUGUUCUUGGUACACACAAGGGUACCAUGAUUUCUGCUCUAACAGAUGGCUCUUUUAGUUACCUUGCAUUAGCAUUCAGCAGCAUAUUUAGAAUUAUACAGUGAUAAACACAAACUAUAAAUGUAAAGUUGUUCAAUUGUUCAUUUUAAAACAGUUGUUCCCUUGGAAGGGCUUCUUAUCUAGUAGUUGAUAAGAUUAGUUAUAAAUGGGUUCUGGUAGUUGUGAUGCUAGUAGACUAUACCGGUAGUUCUAGAGUUUAGGAUUGAAGAAUGAAGUUUUGUUGAGCUAGUUUUUAUCCGUGCAUUUAAUUAUUAGCUCCCUGCAUUAUGUGUAUUAGUGUAUAGGAUUCACAGGGCACCCAUCACUCUUUCCCAGAUAUGUCUAUGUCACGAAUAGGAAUUGUUCAGUGGUAAGUACAUAUAUUAUCAAGUGAACACUUUCCUUAAUUUUAGCAUAACAUCAAUCAAAUAAUUUGCAUAAAUCGAUCAAUUAUCUGGAUGAAUUAGCUCUUACAAAAUCUUUAUUUUUCCUGUGGGAUUUAUGCUCAUAAUUCCUGGGAUUUGAUCUAUAUGCUUGAUGGAUUCAUGGAAGUUGCUUAGAUAAUAGUAUCUAUUUUGGACAGGAAUACAACAUUUGGCAGUGAUAUCAGUACUAUAUGCCAUCUUGCAUGUUUUGGUCAUUUCUGUGAUGGCUGUAGAUGUUGGCAGCAUAUAUUUACAUCAGAGUUUAGGAUGAAGCAGGAAGAAGACAACGGUGGAGGGUAACCUAGGGGACAGAGCCUGCGGUUGGUCGUGGCGGUCGAAGCAGCGACGGCGCCACGAGGCACGGAGUUCCCACGCAUGGUCGAGGGCUCGAGGCGACCGGAGCUGGAUCUGAUUGCGACGAGGGACCGUGCUGGAUCACGCUUUGUUAGGCUAGAUCGUGUGUAGGUAUCGUGAUCGCUGCUCCGACUGCGAGUGGAGCAACAUCGGAUUGCGGGGGAGCGGCGGAUGGCGGGGAGGACGAAGACGGAGACAAGAAGAUUUGAGUUUGAAUUUCAAAAUUGCAGGCCUAGUUUGAAAGAUUUUCAAUGCGUUAAGUAGUAUUUUCAAAAACUUACUUGUAUUGUGGCUGUGUCAGCUAAUUCCAGACGAAGAGAAUACUACAAGAUAUGUGUGCAUGCAUCCAUAAUCCUUGUUUGAAUUA